rnacentral:pre_miRNA from 12 species
AAUUUAAUUUGAUGAUAUUAUGCCAUGACAUUGUGUCAAUAUGCGAUGAUGUGUGUGAUGGCACAGCGUCAUCACGUGGUGACGCAACAUCAUGACGUAAGACAUCACAACGCCAAUUAA